rnacentral:rRNA from 1 species
UACGUAGGGUGCGAGCGUUGUCCGGAUUUAUUGGGCGUAAAGAGCUUGUAGGCGGCUCGUCGCGUCGGGUGUGAAAACUUGCGGCUUAACCGCAAGCCUGCACCCGAUACGGGCGGGCUAGAGUUCGGCAGGGGAGACUGGAAUUCCUGGUGUAGCGGUGGAAUGCGCAGAUAUCAGGAGGAACACCGAUGGCGAAGGCAGGUCUCUGGGCUGACACUGACGCUCAUGCACGAAAGCGUGGGGAGCAAACAGG